AUUGAACGCUGGCGGCAGGCUUAACACAUGCAAGUCGAGCGGAGAUGAGGUGCUUGCACCUUAUCUUAGCGGCGGACGGGUGAGUAAUGCUUAGGAAUCUGCCUAUUAGUGGGGGACAACAUUCCGAAAGGAAUGCUAAUACCGCAUACGUCCUACGGGAGAAAGCAGGGGAUCUUCGGACCUUGCGCUAAUAGACGAGCCUAAGUCGGAUUAGCUAGUUGGUGGGGUAAAGGCCUACCAAGGCGACGAUCUGUAGCGGGUCUGAGAGGAUGAUCCUCCACAUUGGGAAUGGGACACGGCCCAGACUCCUACGGGAGGCAGAAGUGGGGAAUAUUGGACAAUGGGGGGAACCCUGAUCCAGCCAUGCCGCGUGUGUGAAGAAGGCCUUAUGGUUGUAAAGCACUUUAAGCGAGGAGGAGGCUACUGAGACUAAUACUCUUGGAUAGUGGACGUUACUCGCAGAAUAAGCACCGGCUAACUCUGUGCCAGCCGCCGCGGUAAAAC
rnacentral:rRNA from 1 species